ACAUUUUUAUUUUUAAUUUCAUAAAAGAAUAUUGAAGGGCUUGGAGAAAGGCCAAUUUCUACAACUUUUGGGAUUUUCAUCUUUGAAAGUAAGAUUUAUUUAUAUUCUAAACUUGAAUUUCUACUUUAAAUUCUUAGAAAUUGCAAGAACCAUGAUCUUAAUAAGAACUAGAGUUUAGCCCUAAUUUAUGAGUUGGUGAGAAUUGGUGGAAAUUUAGUUUUAAUGAAUUUUUUAUUAAUUCUAAGGUGUUGAAAAAUACUUCGUAUGGUAGAAUUCUUGUUGAUAAUGUUAAAUCAUAUGAAGUUCAUGAGGUUUAAAUGAUAGAAAAUCCUAAGAUGAUGAACUAGAAAAAUUUCUUAGGUUAAGUUAGUAAAUAUAAGUUUGUAAUGGUUGAAAAAGAUAUAAUGUUGAAUUAAGAAUUGUGUAAUUGUUGUUUAUAGAUCAAGAAGGGACUGUUAUUGAAAGGUAGGACAAGUUUUUGUCUAUAUAGUAUUUACAAGCAAUGAAUCAAGUUAGAUUAUGAUUUCAUUGUAUUAAAGAUUUGCUUGACUUUGUACUAAUAUGUGAAUUGAGUGUUUGUAAUUUACUUUCGGGCAUUAAUUAUGAUUAGUAAUUACAUUAUGCAAAUACAUCUGAUAUUGAGAUGAUAUUGAACAUGAAAUUGAAAUGAUGUUGAGAUGAUAUUGUGAAUGAUAUUGUGAUGUUAUUGAUAUUAAGAUGAUAUUGAUGAUGAUGCUGUGAUAAUAUUGAGACAAUACGUUCCUUUUGAAUGCAUGUACUCAUCCCAUUCAUUGCAUGUAUAUAUAAAUUUAUGCUUUGUGGUGAACUUUAUUGAAGAAUCUGUCUAUGUGUAAUUUAAGUAUGAGAUGUAAUGUUAUAUCUAUACUUAGUUGUCAUUGAUGGUAAGUUGUAUUUUGAUAGUUAUUACUUGUAUUUGAUUCGCCUAGUUGCAUAGUGUUGAGUUGAGAUGGUCGAUUAUGCCUAUCAGUCCUUUAUUGUUGUACUGAUACUACCUAUACUCUUCUUUUUGUUGAGUGUAGAGCGUGUCCUAGCACUUAGUUGUCAUUGAUGGUAUGUUGUGUUUUGAUCGUUGUUACUAGUGUUGAGUUGAGUCGGUUGAUUAUGCCUAUCAAUACUUUGUUGUUGUACUGAUACUACCUGUACUUUUCUUUUUGUUGAGUGUAGAGCGUGUCCCAACAGUUGAGAUAAGACCUCAACUCUAGCAAGUGAUUUCAGACUUUGAUUCAAGGUUGAGCAUCAUGACUUAACAGUUGUUGGAUCUUUCUUAUGUCAUUUAUUUUCUUUGUUCAGGAAUAAGACUAUUCCUUAGUUCAUAUUUUUGGAUAACUUGUUAUACUUAGUUUUUAGAAUUGUUUGAUGUUAUUGUACCACGACGUCAGGUUUUGGGGAUGUAAUAAUUAGAUAUGUUCCACACUUUGAUUCUUGGUUAUGAUUAUUGAUUAAGUUACGUUGUAUUUGAGUUGGUUAUUAUUGUGUUUCAGUGAUUUAAAGAUAAGAAACCUAUGAAAGAGACUUGUG
rnacentral:lncRNA from 1 species